GCAACAGCUUUGUGUUCUUAGAAAUAAUUACCUAUGUUGGUCCUCCGAGGUAACACACCCUGCCCACCCCUCGCCACGUUCCCACUCUAGAAGGGCAGCAAGACUUCUCCCGUGGUGAUAAAUGAUGACAAGGUGGACAACGGAGGAACGUGAAACCAGAAGACACCUCCAAGCUGGGGAUGCCCUCUGCAAAUGGCCUUCUCUCUAGUUCCCUUCUUCCUGUGGGGCUCUGCUUCCUUCUCAUGGAAUCCUCUACCAACCUGGCAGCUUCCUCUCUUUUCUAGGACGGCAUCUAUUUUUCCUGGAAUCUGGGGAACUCGUUUUACAUUCUGAAUGGCGAUCAUCAUAUUGCCUUGCAAGUUCCACGCUUGCUUUUCAAAGAAGCCCACUGUUUUAUGGAAAGUCAAUAUGGCCACUUGUACCUCCUGAGCCAGUAAGAGACGGACAUGCCACCAUCAGAGUUUCCAACGGCCAGCCAAGUUACGGGAGAGGAUUGGGAGGAAGGAAAUGAAGGGAGGAGGCAAGAAGAUAGUGAAGGAAGAAGAUGACUCAAAGCUCCUCAGUUCACACAUCAAGGUAUAGACUAAUGUCCAUGCUAUGGAAACAAUGACUUGACACUGAUACAGAACUACCGUGAUGGUGCCCUGGCUCCCUCUCCUGGGGCUGACUUAUUGAGUUAUGCUCAACUACGUUAAUUUGCUUAAAGUGGGUUCAGAGUCAGGUGAAUUUGUACACUCCAAGAUGGUUGGAAUCUAGAAACAACUUAUCAUAAAACAAAAGAUGUCCAAAUCUUAAACAUCUACAAGCUUCAGUCUGCUUUUCAUUCUGACAUCAGUAAGACAUUUCGAUCAUUGGUCAAUGCUGAGGGUCAUCUAAGCUGUCUAACUACCUUCAGGGAUAUCAGAAUGGUCCUGGAAAGCCUCCCUCCUGUGCAGUAGAGUCUAAAUCUCUCUUGUAUUAUCUCCCUACUUAUGCAGAUGGACUGAGUAGAAUCAGAUUCCUAUUUAUCAAUUUGGAUGAAGAAAUGACCAUAAGACUUUAUUUCCACCUAUUACCCCAAACAUAAGGCUCUAAAAUAUGUAUACUGUAUAUAAUACACAUAGACACAUCUUACGUAUAGAAAUCCAUAGCCCCGAUUAUAUACAUAUAAAUAGGGCACUGGAUGAAGAAUGAGGAGUCCUGGCUUCUGAGACCAGAGCUGCUUCUGACAUACAGCUCUGAGCAGGUCCGUUUCACUCUUCUUUCUCAGUUUUCCCAUCUGUGAAAUGGGGAAAAUUACAAUUUCUAUUUCCUCUUUUCUUGUAGUAAUAUAUCAAGAAUCAUUUAAAUAAGAGACAGUAAAGUGUUUUCAUUCUUUGGGGGAAAGGUAUUCUAGAACCCCCAAACCCUGUGACUACCAUUGAACUAUUCUAGAAUACUAUGUACCAACAUGGUCAAGAUUUUCUGAUAAUCUUUCCCUCUUUUCCCUAGUCUACUUUUCAGUGUUUCAGUCAGUCCUUACAUUAUCUCCUUCUUUUUGCCUGUCUCUCAUAGGAUAAGACACAAAAAUGCCUGACUGUGAUUCAAUGAAACCAAUUUCAUAUGUGACCUGGGGAGGAAGUCUUAUUACUCUAUGGCCAUGCCUUUAACUUCAGUAUUUAGAAGCCAGCUAUCUUUCAUUCAAGGCCCGUGUAGAUGAACAACAAUUAGAAUAUCAUUCAAAGAUUUUUGAGUUCUGAGUUCUUUUCUUCUCGGGGAAUCUGAUUUUUUUUUCUAGUUCCCAUGUAUGUCAUAGAACAGCAGGGAGGGACCUUAAGAGAUCACCAAGCACCCCACCUGAAGUUUGUUGUCUGACUUGUAAUGAAUGCAUCUGAGUGAGGAGUGACACGUCAGCAUCAGCACAGAUCUAGUCUUAUGCUCUGGCGUGGCUUUAUGACAGGAGCUUCUGCUUAAUGUGUAUUAAAGACUCUUGGGACACGAUGGAGGGAACAGAGUGGCUGGCUUAGGGGUGAAAAUGACAGCUGUGAAACCAUUCAAAGAAAAAGUUACAAGCUUACUGGAUAACCGAGGUGGUCAAGUGCUCCCCCACCCCAGUUGGAGUACAUGACUAUAGUUCUGAUGUUUUGGACUACUGACUUACUUUCUUAUGUUACCCUUGAUAGGGUUCCCCAACUAUGCUCUUGUAUAUUCCAUUAGAUAAUUUUGGUUGUGGUUUCGUCCCCUAAACACUUCUUUAAACCUUUAAUCCUGGAAUUAUUGUUGAUCUUGACUCCUUGUGAAGUCCACCUUAGCCAUCCUAGAACCCAAAGACUGAAGACCCUGUUCAGAUUGGAACCUCUCUCCUCAGUCCAAACAAGGGGAAAAUCACUAACUUGACUGAGGUCAUCUUUAAAAAAAGGUAUCCACUUUGCCCUUCUCUAUCCUAUUUGGAUUUAGCAUUUGUAAACCAUUCUUUCUGGGGAUAUUGAGGGGUUUCUCCUGAGGCUUUCUUCUAGGGAACAGAUCCACUUUCUUCUUGGACCAAGUAGGUCCAGAUCCCGAGAUAAGUCAAGAGAUCACUGAGGUAGAAUUAAACCCCAGGGUGUUCUCAAUCAAGGUUCCACUCUGGUUCUCCAAGCAAGAGCAUGGUGAUGCUACCUGGUUAGGAUGGGAGAAAAAGGAGAAAUGCACUUUUGUGAAGGAGGUUUGAUUGCUGGAACAACAGUCCAUGAGAAAGGAAUUAUGGAAGGAGGAGGGUGUGAAGAAGGGACAAGAUCAUGGAAUGGAAAUCAGUAAGACAGGAGGAAAUAAAGGUCCUAACCUUUAAAGGAGCA
ensembl:lncRNA